GACGUAGGGGGCAAGCGUUGUCCGGAAUCAUUGGGCGUAAAGCGCGUGUAGGCGGCUGGGUAAGUCCGCUCUGAAAGCCCCCGGCUCAACUGGGGAGGGUCACGCGAUACUGAUCGACUCGAAGGCAGGAGAGGGUAGUGGAAUUCCCGGUGUAGUGGUGAAAUGCGUAGAUAUCGGGAGGAACACCAGUGGCGAAGGCGACUACCUGGCCUGUUCUUGACGCUGAGGCGCGAAAGCUAGGGGAGCAAACGGG
rnacentral:rRNA from 1 species